UAUUUAUUCAAACAUCAAGCCUAAUGUUUAGCACAAAGUUAAGGACUGAGUAAAUAUUAGCUGAGGAUGCUAGAGUUGUUAUUUGCAAUUUCAUUAUUAUUAAUACAUGAGACAAUAUGGCAUGGUAGUUCAAGCUCAAGCUCUGGAAUCAGACAAAAUUGGGUCUAACUCCCGGCACCACAUUUACCAACUUUGUUUUGCAGUUACUCAGCCUCCCAUGCCUUCCUUUACUCAUCUACAAAAGGCAGGUUGUAAUAACAUUUGCCUCAGAAGGUCACUCCCUCUAGAAAAGAACUGGUUUGAAGUGUUCUAUGGAAGAAUCAGGUGCUUGUUUAAGGAUAUUUCCAUACAAUGAGAGCCUUUUGAGUAUGGUCUGAAGAGGGAUCAUCAACAUCAUCCAGAAGAAAUGUAGCAAUGCAGAAUCUCAACACCCAUCCCAGACUUAAGGAAUCUAAAUCUUCAUUUUAAUAAGAUCCCACAGUGAUUCUUAUGUUUGGAAUAUAUUUCUAGGCCCAAGAUGGAGCUACUCUUGCCCAGAGUGCCACAUCAGCAAACCAAAACUUAGGUAACUUUCAUGUCCCAGCAAAUGCUCUGCUUGACCAGAAGCACUGUAUAUCCAGUCAGCCAGUCCCAAACACGAAGAACUCUGGGCUCUAUAUUUACUUUCUUAAUCCUUCUCACCCCAAACCAGGCUAUGUGACCCUAGCCAAUCAGAUAUUUUCCAUUUUUCUCUUCCUUGUUCUUUGUUCUUUAUUUCAUAAAAACUUCCUGACUUUCACCCCAUUUUGCAUUUCUCUGGAGACUGUUCACUUCAUGAAGGGUUAAAUAAAGUUUGUUAAUAUUA